CUGGGGGGCUGUCAAAUGGGGGAGGGGGCCCAUGACUGCAGCUCCAACUCUUUCUUGAAACCCUGCUCCUCAGUCCCAGCUCAGAACUGUGGAUCUGAUGACUACAUUCGCCUAAAGGAAAAUAAUCCGAGUCACCAGUGGUAGCCUGGUCAUGGUGGCUUCGGGACCUCAAUUAGCCCCUGGAAUUCUCACGAGGAGAAAGCCUUUCAAUUUGUGAUUUCUUUCUUCAGUACAAGGAAGAGCCGGGAAGAGAGCCAUGCCUGAGAACCUGACUGUGGUGAGGGAAGGGCUGUAAUUUCAAAUUCCUGCCAGGACUUAGUACCACAGAAGAGAUGGAGAGCUGGCAGAUGGGCCUUUACACAACAGAGCACUUCGGGAAGAUUUUGUCUGUGCAAAGAUGGUGGCUGACACAAAGGAGGUAUAUGGCGAGGCUGAAAGCUGAAGAAGCCUGUACUUCUACUUUAGGAGGAUUUAGAGUUCUCACUAUGUCUCCACGGAAGGAUGUGAUAAGAACAAUAAUAAUGACCAAUAUUUACUGAACACAUACUUUGAGCAGACCCUGUGUUAAGAGUUCCCUGUAUUAUAUUUCAUGAUAACCCAAUGAGGGGUUAGAGCUGGUACUGUCAGUGUCCAUAUCUCCUCAGCACUCGCUUCUACACAGUGAACACUUCUGAUUUGAACACGGGUGACUCUGAGGGCUUGGCUGCCCAAGCCCUCCUCAGGCCUCCGUGGGCAGGGCCAGAAGUGCCGGAGUUAAUGCCCCUGGAAGCAGCCCUCAACCAAUGACAGACAGGGAUUUGGUGGACAAAUUCCCUAGUUUCUUUUCCCCUAGGCUGGGAUAACUCUGAUGCAGGUUCUACAUCAGCAGUUGGCGAACUUUUUCUGUAAAGGUCCAGACAAUAGAUAUUUUAGGCUUUGUAACCCAUACAGUCUCUGUCUCAACUACUCAGCUUGGCUCUUGCAGCAUGAAACCAACCACAGACCGUAUGUAAAUGAACAGGAGUGGCUGUUCCAAUAAAACUUUGUUUUAUGGCCCAAGCCAGUUUGCCAACCUUGCUCUACACUAUAUAGAGUUCCCCAGUGGGACUGAGCCUCCAGUUAGCCAUGGUGGUAACCGGCUUGAUGAUGCUCCCUUGACUGACCUUUUUCGUUGUCUCACUUCCUUACACUUUUACUAGUGUGUCAUGAGAUCACCUCCAAAAUAACUACCUGCACGCAAAUCUUUGUCUUGGGAUCUGCUUCUAGGGGAACCUAAAUGAAGGCAAGCAAGAACUAUUAUUAUCACUGUUUUUCAGAGGAAGAAACUGAGACACAAAGAGGCUAAGUAAUUCACCCAAGGUUACAGAGUUAGCAAGUGGUAGAGCCAGCAUUUGAAUCCAGUCUUGCUCAAGAGUUCUGAGUAUAUUCAAAGCAUCCUGGAAAAUCAGCAGGGAGGGGAGGGGGCAGUAGUCAGAGGAGCCGGGAUCCCCCCAGAAUGAAUGAAGUUCUCCAGAGUCGUGAGGAGUCAGAGAGACCUGCUCCUUGCAGCUUGGUCAGGGAGGCAGCAAGCUCUCAGGGAAGAAUAAGCAUGGAGCAUCAAGGCAUAUGGGGACUUGGGCAGCUUCCCAAAAUAGUCCCAUGGCCUGAACACAACAUGGAAACAUCAGAAAGCCACCAGACCUAAAGGGACCCACGGACAGAGGCAAGGGAUAUGUCAGUGCAAUCUGUGAGGACCAUUGACAGAGGCCCUGGUGGACCCUCUGAUGUGUCCGCUCAAG